UACGAAGGGGGCUAGCGUUGCUCGGAAUUACUGGGCGUAAAGGGAGCGUAGGCGGGUCUUUAAGUCAGGGGGGAAAUCCUGGAGCUCAACUCCAGAACUGCCUUUGAUACUGAAGAUCUUGAGUUCGGGAGAGGUGAGUGGAACUGCGAGUGUAGAGGUGAAAUUCGUAGAUAUUCGCAAGAACACCAGUGGCGAAGGUGGCUCACUGGCCCGAUACUGACGCUGAGGCACGAAAGCGUGGGGAGCAAACAGG
rnacentral:rRNA from 1 species